rnacentral:rRNA from 1 species
CCGGAUGGAGGGACACUGUUGGACCGCCUCUGCUAAAGGAGGAGGAAGGGAAUGGGCAACGGUAGGUCAGCAUGCCCCGAAUUAAUUGGGCUACACGCGGGCUACAAUGGGUGGGACAAUGGGUAUCGACACCGAAAGGUGAAGGCAAUCUCCUAAACCCAUCCGUAGUUCGGAUUGUGGGCUGCAACUCGCCCACAUGAAGCUGGAAUCUGUAGUAAUCGUGUUUCAAAAUAGCACGGUGAAUAUGUCCCUGCUCCUU